rnacentral:rRNA from 1 species
CUGCUGCCUCCCGUAGGAGUCUGGUCCGUGUCUCAGUACCAGUGUGGGGGACCUUCCUCUCAGAACCCCUACGCAUCGUCGUCUUGGUGGUCCGUUACACCGCCAACUAACUAAUGCGACGCAUGCCCAUCCGCCACCGGAAUCAACCUUUGGCACCAACAGGAUGUCCCGUCGAUGCAUUAUGCCGUAUUAGACGGAAUUUCUCCCGAUUAUCCGGCUGUGGCAGGCAGGUUGCAUACGUGUUACUCACCCGUG